GUUUGUUUUUUUCCAUAUACAUAUUUUCUUCAUUGUUUUAAAGGGUAAUGGAGUCUCUGAAUCUUUUGCGGUAUUUAUUGAUACAGGAAAGAAAAUUUUCUAAUGUGAUAUGGACAGACCUUUGCCACAUUGCAGACAGUUACACAAAAUUAUUACGACUAUGUCUAAGCAUGUCAAAAUCAUACUAUGGUACAGAGUUGAAAAGACAUAGGGAAGACAAAAAGAUUAAGACUAAAGAAUUUAAGGAGGCCUCUAGGAAGAGAUCAGUUCAGAGCUUGCUUGUGAAGGCACUUGCAACAUGCCAUGUGAGGCACAGGAUAAGAUUAUCAAUUCCACUUAUCUGUAUUCAGUUUUUAAAAUAGUGACAGUAAGUCAUAAAACAAACUGUACUAAACAUAUCAUUUGCAGGUCUUGCAGUGUGCCUUGGUCACAUAUGACCUAAUGGAAAGCCUUGUGGUCCAUAUAGAGGAAAUCAGUGAGGACAGUCAAAAAUGAAAUGGGGACAAUUGCUGCUUUAUGAACUGAAUAAUGUAUUUAUUAAUUGAUUUAUUUACCAUCUCUGUAGCAUGACACAUUUGUAACAAUAAAGAGCAAUGUGAGAGCUAUUAAUAUCAAUAAUAUCAAUAUUUACAAUAUUAUUCUGUAUUCUGACUUUGAAGACCUUUUAAAUAAAAGAUGGACAUUUUU